UCACUAUGUUAGCCAGACUGGUCUUGAAUUCCUGACCUCGUGAUCUGCCCACCUUGGCCCGCCAAAGUGCUGGGAUUACAGGCGUGAGCCACCGUGCCCGGCCAGGGAUUCUUUUAUAUCUUCCUCCUUUUCCUCAAUAUUAUGAUUCCUGGCCAGGCAUGGUGGGAGGACCGCUGAAGCCAGUGAGGUACAGGCAGCAGUGAGUCUUUUUUUUGAGAUGGGGUCUCACUUCAUGCCCAGGCUGGAGUGCAGUGGCGCGACCUUGAGUCACUGCAGCCUCCGCCCUCUGGGUUCAAGUGAUUCUCCUGCCUCAGCCUCCCGAGUAGCUGGGACUACAGGUGCGCGCUGCCGUGCCCAGCUAAUUUUUGUAUUUUUAGUAGAGAUGGGGUUUCACCAUCUUGGCCAGGAUGAUCUUGAACUCCUGACCUCGUGAUCUGCCUGCCUCGGCCUCUUAAAGUACUGGGAUUACAGGCGUGAGCCACCACGCCCAGCCCUAUUUAAACCAUAUAUAGAUAUAUACAUAUUUUUUCUUUUUUUUUUUUUGAGACAAAGUCUUGCUCUGCGGCCCAGGCUGGAGUGCAGUGGUGGGAUCUCGGCUUACCGUAAGCUCCGCCUCCCAGG
rnacentral:lncRNA from 1 species